rnacentral:rRNA from 1 species
GACAUAGGUUGCGAACGUUAUCCGGAAUUAUUGGGCGUAAAGCGGGUGUAGGUGGACUUAUAAGUCAGGUGUGAAAUCCCAGGGCUCAACCCUGGAAGUGCACUUGAUACUGCAAGUCUUGAGUGUGGUAGAGGCUAUUAGAAUUCUUGGUGUAGUGGUGAAAUACGUAGAUAUCAAGAGGAAUACCGGAGGCGAAGGCGGAUAGCUGGGCCAACACUGACACUGAGACCCGAAAGCGUGGGGAUCAAACAGG